CCUACGGGGGACAGCAGUGAGGAAUAUUGGUCAAUGGGCGAGAGCCUGAACCAGCCAAGUCGCGUGAGGGAGUACUGCCCUAUGGGUUGUAAACCUCUUUUGUCGGGGAGCAAAAGCCGGACGUGUCCGGCUGUGAGAGUACCCGAAGAAAAAGCAUCGGCUAACUCCGUGCCAGCAGCCGCGGUAAUACGGAGGAUGCGAGCGUUAUCCGGAUUUAUUGGGUUUAAAGGGUGCGCAGGCGGAUUUUUAAGUCAGCGGUAAAAUCGUGGGGCUCAACCCCAUCCAGCCGUUGAAACUGGGGAUCUAGAGUGUGCGAGAGGUAUGCGGAAUGCGUGGUGUAGCGGUGAAAUGCAUAGAUAUCACGCAGAACCCCGAUUGCGAAGGCAGCAUACCGGUGCACAACUGACGCUCAGGCACGAAAGCGUGGGUAUCGAACAGGAUUAGAUACCCCGGUAGUC
rnacentral:rRNA from 1 species